UUUAAUUUUUGUACACUAUUUCUUUUCAAAUUAUGCCAAAACUUAUUAUUAUUAAAACAAUUUUUGAACAAAUGGUUCUUUUCUAAUCUUAUGCAUUUAUGUGAUAUGUGAUAAAUAGAAGUAUUGCUUUCAGAUACCUGAAGGAUAUUUUUUCGAUGUUUAAUGAUUAGUAAUUAUUUUGCAUAAACAUCAAUAUAUCAUAAAACAAGAAAUUCGUCUUGGAAUAGAUCGGACUAUUAAUUAUUAAUCAAGAAAGAUUCCUAAAGAGUAAAGAAAGAGUCAUCUUGAAAUCUUGGAGGAGGUUGAACUUUUUUUUAGAUGAGAUUUGCAUCAGAAGAGGUCCAUUUUGAAAUAGAUGUGGCUUGGCAUGUUAAAAGGGAAAAAGUGACAUCGAACGAAAGAAAUCUUAUGUACAGUGUUGGUAAGUAAAGGGACGAAAGGGCUGGAUGCAUUUUAUGCUUUUGUGAGGCGUAAGCGGUGUACACACGAUGCAUAAAUACUAAGGAACCGGUUUUCUAUGUUAUCCACGCAAUACGAGAAGUAUACAGUUUACGGGUUAAGAAAAAGAGCUUAAGGGGGCAGCACAAUUUUGUGGGAUUGCCUUGUGUUCGUGGCUCGUUACUCGAGAUUCUCACAGGUCGAGAGAUUGCAGUGCAGGCUAGAAUAUUCAAGCAGGCUGGCGUAAAAUAAUUCAUCGAAGUGGUUGCAGUUACCUCAGUUGACAAAAUUCUACAAAGAAUAAAAUCGAUACAAGGUACUGUUUCAAAAUUAUAUUUCUUAUCUUAUCGUUUGUUUGUCUGCCUCAUGUCCGAGUGAGUUUCUCCGUUCAUUUUCUUUUUAUUAAUCGGCUUUAAUGAAGUUAUUAAUUCAUGUCGGCGAAACAUUUCAAUGUGGAUGAAAUAAUUAGCAAUCAUUAAUUCGAUUGUUCGCGUUUUAAUUGCGGUGAACGCGGUAAAAGUUAUAUCGAAAUCGUGGGCUUGUGAUUUCAGGGAUAAAAAGCUCGCUUUAGGAAAUGUUAAUUAGUAUUGUCAUUUUUAUUCCCAUUAUCUGACUUUGCAAUUAACUCACACUGCGAUAGUAUUCGUAUGAAUUGUCGUAACUUUUUUCUCUUUCUUUCUUUCUUUCUGUCUUUCUUUCUCUGACUGUCUUUUCCCGGCAGAACAUUGAAAAUCUCGAAAUAAAAAUUUUAAUUUUUGCAUAAUUUUAAAUUUUAUAGCGAAUUAAUUAAUAGGCGACUUUCGGUUUAUUCACGUCAGGAAUAUCGAAUUUCUACAAAAACAACGAUAACCAACGAAUGUACUUAAUCAUGCUCGCGAUCUAUAUAAAAUUUACAAUAAACGUGUUUAUAUUUAAAGAGCAGUUUAUUGUGUUCGCGUAACAUUGGAUUAAAAUGAAAAUCAAAUUUUUUACAGCGAUCGAUUGAAAUUCUUUUGCAAAUUACAUUUCCCGAACGAAAUAAUCGGUUUCUAAAUUAAUCCACGUACAUAGUACAAAAUUUUUUCGGAAUCGUUAGUUGAAUUCACGGUGCAAACAAUGUUCCAAUGCAAUGAAGGCUAGUUGUUAAACGUGUUUGCGAUUUUAGCCAU